AAACUGAGGGCUGGAGAUCAGCUGCAGACACUUCAGCUACUAGCGUAUCAGGAGACCUGAGGUGUUAUAGGCACUCAGUGCAAAGCAGCUUCGGACUCCAACCUAUAGGAAAGCAUGGCUGGUGAGUCAGUUACCACACUGGCUUUUCUGCUCUGCUGUCUGGGCCUCCCAGCUGUGCUCCGUCUGUCUCUCUCUGAAGCACGUAGACUGAUGGUCAGAGAUUCUGUAACUGGGGCAUCAGCUACACUGACAUCCAGUGAGCGGGACUCAGACCAGCUGAUGAAUCUCUGAGGUGGAGGUGUGACUGAGGGUCUUACUCUGAUGGUCAGAGAUUCUGUAACUGGGGCAUCAGCUACACUGACAUCCAGUGAGCCGGACUCAGACCAGCUGAUGAAUCUCUGAGGUGGAGGUGUGACUGAGGGUCUUACUCUGAUGGUCAGAGAUUCUGUAACUGGGGCAUCAGUUACACUGACAUCCAGUGAGCGGGACUCAGACCAGCUGAUGAAUCUCUGAGGUGGAGGUGUGACUGAGGGUCUUACUCUGAUGGUCAGAGAUUCUGUAACUGGGGCAUCAGCUGCACUGACAUCCAGUGAGCGGGACUCAGACCAGCUGAUGAAUCUCUGAGGUGGAGGUGUGACUGAGGGUCUUACUCUGAUGGUCAGAGAUUCUGUAACUGGGGCA